AUGGUUGCAUGUGAUUUUGAUCUGAAUUUCACAUUUAUUUCAUGUGGGUGGGAAGGGUCCGCAUCAGAUGCAGGAGUUCUUCGUUCUGCUAUUAGCAAGGGGUUUCAUGUGCCAGAUGGAAAAUUUUAUCUCGUAGAUGGUGGAUAUGCAAACACGCCUUCUUUUCUUGCACCAUAUCGAGGAGUUCGGUAUCACCUGAGUGAAUUUAGGAGGCGGCGCUCAUCUAAUACGGGCUAUGCCGACCAUAGGGAGCUGUUCAACCAUACCCAUGCAAUCCUCCGGAACCACAUCGAAAGGAGCAUUGGUGUUCUAAAAAAACGUUUCCCUAUCUUAAAAGUGGGCAAUCACUACCCAAUAGAGUCACAAAUCAAGAUUCCGGCAGCAUGUGCUGUAUUCCAUAACAUCAUUAGAGCUCAAAGUGGUGAUGAGGCAUGGUUGGAUCACCAACCACCGUUAAUUCCACCAGAAACAUAUGUUGAUGUUCCAGAGGGAGAUGAUGUCAACCAACAUCAUCACAAUGAGGCAAACGAUGGAAACACUCUUAGAGAUCAGAUCGCGAUGCAAAUGUGGGCUGAUUAUAACAACUAG
rnacentral:rRNA from 1 species